rnacentral:lncRNA from 1 species
AGAGCGUCUCAGGCUGCGGCGUCCGGCCGGUGGUUCAGACGGUCCCUGCGGCUCUCCCUCUGCGUUGCUGUUCUCCGUCCAGCUGCUGCGCUUUUCCCGGAGACGAGAGCCGGCUGCCUUCCACAUCAGGGGUGAACCUCCUGUCUCCGGGGCGUCUGGAUGCUGAGAGUGUGGCCCAUUUCCGUGAGCCGAGACCCAGUUGGCGCCUGCGCAACAGCACCAGGUAUGUGGUUUUUAUCCUUACGCGUGCGUCCUCCAGAGUAAGUGAGAUGGAGAGCUGGAUGCAGAGCCUGCAUUGUGCUGGGGCGGGACGAUGGCAUGGGAGGCAGGUCAACUGUGGGACCCCUGGGGAGCCCUGCCUUUCAUGAGCCUCAGUUUGUAUGUCUGCAAAGUGGAGCUAAGAGCCCCUGCCCCUACUCGCUCCUGGGCUUGCUGAUAAGGCUCAGCUGGGGUGUUUGAGUCUCCCUGCAGUUUGGAAACUUUGACGUGCUUGACAAGGGCAGGGCAUCUGUCUAAUUAAGGGGAAGGAUAAACAAAGGCCACCAGAUCAAUGAGGUUUUGGGGAUGCGAUGUAGUCCUACCCAUAGGGAAUAAAGAGCCCCCAGAUGCCUCUGCCUUUGCUGCCCUAAUGAGGAAUGUGCCCAGUCCUUCCCUAGCUGGAGUCAUUAAUCUAUGGUUACAAAGUUAGUGCUUGGCCAAGCUUCCUUCAUCCUUUUGGGCACAUGGCGUAUAUUCAAAAUGGCUCCAUGGAGCCAACCAGGAGCCCCUGCUGGCCGGAAUGAUCUCUGUCGGGCUGGAAAAGACGACAGCCUAACUGUUUGACCAAUAAAUGUAUAGAAAAUAGUGGCCGGGAAGCAGCAAUUACGUAAUAAUCUUAUCCAAAGAAAAUGUGGGCUCAAAUUAAGAUGAUUUCACCAGGAAAACAUUAAGGUAUACAAAGAGUUCUUAAUAAAUAGAAAUAAAUAGUGCCGUGGUUAUUUUCGAUGGUUAUCUGCCUCGCCGCCGCUGCUCCGGCUGCAUUUUCCGCGGGGCUCAGAGCGGCAUUUUGCUCUACAAAAACAACUAGCUCCUUUCCAGCCAAUGAUUACUUGUAAUUAUGCUUUCCCCUGCUAUUAUUCUAAUAGACCUGUCAUGUUGCUUGAAGGACUCUGGCGUUUGGAAUAUACGAUGGCUUUUAUGGAUGGACUGCUGGAACACUUAAUAUAGCUCUAUUUUUGAAUUCUCGAGUUCUAUCCUUUUGAAGUCUGUGUUAGUGGAACUCCUAUUUAUGAGGUGUGCUGUGCUUAAAGGUUUGCUAUUGAUGAAGAGGUCCAACAGAGCCUUUAUCGUAAGUACGGCAGCAUUCUCCCCAAGAGAUAAAUAGCCGUGCUAAAAGGGAUGGUGUGUACCUAGGCUGCAAAUUACUAGCCAAGUACCUCCUAACAGUGUACUUCAAAAAUACCUUUAUGCUUCUUGUUUGUUCUCUUUUCCAUAGAGAUGAAUGCCAUUUCUUAAAACAUAGAGAGGUGGAAGCCUGCUGGUCAUCAUUGGUCAUCAGCCCUACUCGGGCUUGGGGAACGUGUUUGUUCCCGCACUGGGUGUCUGGGUAUAUGCAUCCCGAGUGGCUUACACCCUCUGUGCUCUCUGUGUCAUGGGUUUGAUUUUCUUGAAGUUUCUUUAAUUGAAAAGUGCACGUGGCUGGACUCAACGCUUUUUGGAGGGGAGGAGGGUGUAUGAACAGGGAGGCUUGUUCUGGGGGAUCCGGAAAAGCCUCCUGAGGGCAGAGCAAGGGCCUCCGUGGCGAACUUCAGGUCGUGAUAAAGACCUGCAAAGAGUGGGCGGUGGCUUUGGCUUCCGGUUGACUGGCUGGGCUGCAGGUAGAGAUCUUAGAAGGGGGUGGCCUGAUGGAGAAGUUGUCAUCAGAAGUGAUGUCCAAAGGUGUGAUUAUUUGGGCAAUUUGAGGAGAAACACCAGGUGGAAGUUUCCUUGAGCAGUUCAGCCAGGUUGUUCUCUUGUGGACCCAAAGUUGUAGGCAGUUGAGGCUAAAGUCAUCGGGCAGUGCGGGCACAUUCUUGGACCUUGGGUGGAUGUCCCAUGCAAAGACAUCACGUGGUUCCCACACAAGGUGGGGUGGAACGGGUGGGCUGGCUGCCUUAUGGUGUCUAGACAUGCACUCAAAAUACUCCAACUUUCUAGCAAGCAUCCCACAUGCAGACAAAACUCCCUUGGCAGUUGACAUCAGAAACACAGAAGCAGGGCGGCAGAGCAGCUUUUGACCAGGCAGCAAGAAUUUGCAUCGAUUCCCCCAAGAAGGCAGGCUGCUGCUCCGCAGUGUUUGCCUGGUGUUUUUCAUUUGGAACCUUCAUGCAUCAGCACCCUGACUACACACGGCCUGUCUAAUUCGUCUUCACCCAUAUAUUUUACCAUUAUGGAUAGCCUUCCCCUUAAGCUUGUCUAUUUACUAGCUGGUGUGACAGAUGACAGCGACUCUGAGCCAUGUUCGAUGGCAUUUGUAUGGCUCUGAUGCCAGAAGCGUUCUGAGCACCGGUGUUGCAUAUUUAUCGAUCUCCAUAUUCCCAAUAAUCUGAUGCCGUCACAUUUGACAACAUUAUGAGGAGAGGUCAGCUAGAUGGGGCUAAUGAAACUGUUUCCAAGAUGGAUGUUGUUUUCUACAACAUUUACCCUUGCAAAUAGCUGUCAGUGGGGCAUUUCACUCUCGGGCGAGGCAUUUGAGGACCUUUUUUUUUUUUCCUCCCCUAAAUAGUUGACGUUAACAUUGAACAAAACCUGAAGCUAUUAAAUCUCAGUAUUUAUAUACGAUAGAAAACAUGGGCGCCCUGGCAUCUUUCCAAAUGAAAAUCUUAUUAACAGACGUGGCGCUUGUGGCAAAGUCCCUUAGCAACUGGAGAUUGGCUUGGCUGUCUGAAACGUGUGACGGAUUAGUCCGAGACGAUGUGAAGGACCAAAUGGGAGACGGCUGCAGUCUGGAGGAUUCAACUAGCACAUAGAAAGGCCUGCUGUGGGCCAGAGGCCUGUUGUGCUUUUCCGACGGUUUCCAAGCUUCCACACGUCUUCGAACCAUCAACACAAAGUGCACUCAGAUUUAGAUGAAGGUUUUCAGGAAGGAAGGAAGAAAGAACAUGAAAUAGCAUUUGCAGAGGGGAUCCCAUUUGAUGAAAUGCUGCAUGUGAACCGACACCGGACAUGCUUCGGGAGCAGCAAUGCUCAUUAUUUACGGUGAUGUUUAUUAAAGACAGGUUUCCUGGACCUGAAUGCAGAACCCUCUGAAAGGCCUACAAGGCGACAUUUAGAGACUUUCCCACUGUCUGUCCAGAGGGUUACCAUGUUGGAUAGUGAUCCUGAUGGCCCUUCUAAAGGAUCCAUCCUGGCUUAAAUCUGGGCGGAUAUGUAUUGGUUAAAUAGUCAUCUAGGAGUGGCAAGCAGCUUGGUGUCAAUGUGAUUUCUGAGAAACUUGUUGCAUAUUGCAGUAGGAUCACUGAGAACUUUCGGUUCUUUGAGAAAAACAUAGUCAAUCUUUAGUUUGAAAUGCAUUGUUUUACGAAGGUGGGUGUAUUUAACGGGUUUCUUUGCGACAGUGUCCCUCUCCCAGCUCUAUCCCAGAGCAGACACAAACCAGGAUGUGUAAUGAAAUUAAUGGUACUGGGCUACGGGCUCCUCCAGAACUUUCUCAACAAUGAAGUCAUUUACUCAGUGCUGGCGCUUGGGAACAUUAAUCUACCGCAAUGCUUUACAGUCACAAAAACUGAAGAACUUCUCCAUGUGUUUAUUUUGUAGUGUUGAAAGAAGGGUGCCAGAGAAGAGAUGAUUGACUCUUGUGCCUUUUCCUUUAGUGGGUCUCAGUACCUCUUUCCAUCACGCCCUUUUCAGGUUAUGCCUUUUGCAUUGUGUUGAAUGAAGAGGUAGAAAAGAAUGGACGAGUUCAAGAGCAGCGAAGUUCAUCGCUGGGCAGAUGCUUCUGUUCUUUUCAGACGAAAAACUUGCUUCUUCAUCCCCCCUCCUCCACUUCCAUGGAAUAUAUAGACCAUUAAGAGACAUAUUCUCUUUUAGAAGAAUGCCGAAAAGCACUAGGGAAACAAAGUCAGGUGAUGACAGAAGCUAGCUCCACGUAAGUAGAGUGGCACAGCAUGCCGCUUGCAAUUUAAGAGACACAAUUCUCACUAAAGAAAGACACUGGAGUUCCUGUUGUAGUUCAGCAGAAACGAAUCCGACUAGGAACCAUGAGGAUGUCUGUUUGAUCCCUGGCCUGGCUCCGUGGGUUAAGAAUCCGGCGUUGCCGUGAGCUGUGGUGUAGAUUGCUGAUGCGGCUCUGAUCUGGCGUUGCUGUGGCUGUGGUGUAGGCCAGCAGCUGUAGCUCUGAUUCGACCCCCAGCCUGGGAAUUUCCAUAUGCUGCGGGUAUGGCCCUAAAAAUAAAAAAAAGAAUGACACCAACAAAAAAGUCAUAUGUGAGAGAUGCAAGUUAAGAUACCCUAGGCAGCUUUAAUUUAGGCAAUGGCAAAUUACAUGAAUAGUAGUUGCUAUAGUAACUAGUAGAUAAUAUGGUGUUUAUGUUGCUAUUGAGAUAUCUUGUUACUCCACCAGAAUAAGAAAUAAAGAUUUCCAAGGGCACAUAGACACAACAAUGAAGGGAAUGUUUCUCAUAACCAUUUUACUUCUUUCAUUUUACUGUUUAUUUAUUAUGAAAUGGAUAUCUACAAUUAUAUAGAGCCCUUAGUUUGGUUUGUUGUUAGUGAUAUUUUCCUAGCUGAGACGUAAUCCAUUAAUAUUUCUUACUUGCAAGGAGUUCCUGUUGUGGAUACUAGUUGGGUUCUAGUAUCCGACUAGUAUCCAUGAGGAUGAGGGUUUGAUCCUGGCCUCACUUAGUGGGUUAAGGGUCCGGCAUUGCCGUGAGCUGUGGUGUAGGUCACAGAUGGGGCUCAGAUCCUGCAUUGCUGUGGCUGUGGUGUAGGCCAGCAGCUACAGCUCUGAUUUGACCUCUAGCCUGGGAAUUUCCAUAUGCUGCAGGUGCAGCCCUAAAAAGAAAAAAAA